rnacentral:rRNA from 1 species
AACGAACGCCGGCGGCAGGCUUAACACAUGCAAGUCGAGCGCCCCGCAAGGGGAGCGCCAGACGGGUGAGUAACGCGUGGGAAUCUACCCAUCUCUACGGAAUAACGCAUGGAAACGUGUGCUAAUACCGUAUACGUCCUUCGGGAGAAAGAUUUAUCGGAGAUGGAUGAGCCCGCGUUGGAUUAGCUAGUUGGUGGGGUAAAGGCCUACCAAGGCGACGAUCCAUAGCUGGUCUGAGAGGAUGAUCAGCCACACUGGGACUGAGACACGGCCCAGACUCCUACGGGAGGCAGCAGUGGGGAAUAUUGGACAAUGGGCGCAAGCCUGAUCCAGCCAUGCCGCGUGAGUGAUGAAGGCCCUAGGGUUGUAAAGCUCUUUCACCGGUGAAGAUAAUGACGGUAACCGGAGAAGAAGCCCCGGCUAACUUCGUGCCAGCCGCCGCAGUAAAAC